rnacentral:tRNA from 1 species
GGAGGCAUAGCUCAGUUGGUUAGAGCGCACGGUUCACAUCCGUGAGGUGAGAGUUUGAGCCUCCCUGUCUCCACCA